rnacentral:rRNA from 1 species
GCUGCCCGCCCGUACGCGACCCCAGGUCAGGCGGGGCUACCCGCUGAGUUUAAGCAUAUCAAUAAGCGG